rnacentral:tRNA from 1 species
GGUUCCAUAACAUAGCGGUUAGUACGUCAGUUUCACACGCAGAAGGUCCUGGGUUCAUGCCCCAGUGGAGCCA